rnacentral:rRNA from 1 species
GGAUUAGAUACCCGGGUAGUCCACGCCGUAAACGGUGGGUGCUAGGUGUAGGCGGUAUUCCACGCCGUCUGUGCCGCAGCUAACGCAUUAAGCACCCCGCCUGGGGAGUACGGCCGCAAGGCUAAAACUCAAAGGAAUUGACGGGGGCCCGCACAAGCAGCGGAGCAUGUGGCUUAAUUCGACGCAACGCGAAGAACCUUACCAAGGCUUGACAUACACCGAAAACUCGUAGAGAUACGGGGUCCGCAAGGGCGGUGUACAGGUGGUGCAUGGUUGUCGUCAGCUCGUGUCGUGAGAUGUUGGGUUAAGUCCCGCAACGAGCGCAACCCUCGUUCUAUGUUGCCAGCGCGUUAUGGCGGGGACUCAUAGGAGACUGCCGGGGUCAACUCGGAGG